rfam:Gossypium hirsutum cultivar TM-1 chromosome 24, whole genome shotgun sequence
UGUUAAAAAAUUCAUCCAUUUAUAUUUUUACAAACUAAUGUGGCUAACAGAAUAACUAGACAAUUGCUAAUGUACAAUGACCAACUUUUAACAGUAGAAAUGGAUGAAAUUUUUAACA